AUGGUCAAGCCGCUGCCUCCACGUCGAGUCGCCGUGCUCACCUCCAAGCUACCACGACCUCAUGCACGCAGCCUUGUCUGCUCCUUGUUGUUAAAGAAGCCUCUGAACCAAGUAAUAGCACUACUGAUCUAUGAUCGACCUGUCGCUUUACCUCUGCUGUGUAUCACUACCGUCUCAGGCUACUGCUCAUCUUCUGAUGUCCGACUAAGUGAACCGUUGUGCGAGAGCCACCACUGCAAUCUGCCUUGCCGUCCAGAGCCGCCGUCGGGGCCCGCAUCCGCGGCCUCGCAUCCGCCUUGA
rnacentral:rRNA from 1 species